rnacentral:rRNA from 1 species
GAUGAACGCUGGCGGCGUGCCUAAUACAUGCAAGUCGAGCGAACGGACGAGAAGCUUGCUUCUCUGAUGUUAACGGCGGACGGGUGAGUAACACGUGGAUAACCUACCUCUAAGACUGGGAUAACUUCGGGAAACCGGAGCUAAUACCGGAUAAUAUUUUGAACCGCAUGGUUCAAAAGUGAAAGACGGUCUUGCUGUCACUUAUAGAUGGAUCCGCGCUGCAUUAGCUAGUUGGUAAGGUAACGGCUUACCAAGGCAACGAUGCAUAGCCGACCUGAGAGGGUGAUCGGCCACACUGGAACUGAGACACGGUCCAGACUCCUACGGGAGGCAGCAGUAGGGAAUCUUCCGCAAUGGGCGAAAGCCUGACGGAGCAACACCGCGUGAGUGAUGAAGGUCUUCGGAUCGUAAAACUCUUUUGUUAGGAAAGAACAUAUGUGUAAGUAACUGUGCACAUCUUGACGGUACCUAAACAGAAAGCCACGGCUAACUACGUG